GUGCCAGCAGCCGCGGUAAGACGAACCGUGCGAACGUUGUUCGGAAUCACUGGGCUUAAAGGGCGCGUAGGCGGGUGUGCAAGUCUGUGGUGAAAGCCCCCGGCUCAACCGGGGAAGUGCCGUGGAUACUGCGCAUCUUGAGGAGGGUAGGGGCAUCUAGAACGGUCGGUGGAGCGGUGAAAUGCGUUGAUAUCGACCGGAACUCCGGUGGCGAAGGCGAGGUGCUGGACCCUUUCUGACGCUGAGGCGCGAAAGCCAGGGGAGCGAACGGGAUUAGAUACCCUGGUAGUCC
rnacentral:rRNA from 1 species